AAAGUGCGAUAAGCAAUGCGAAUUGCAGAAUUCCGCGAAUCAUCAGAUCCUUGAACGCAACUGGCGCUAAGAGGCUCUCCUCCUAGCAUGUCUGUUUCAGUGUCUGCAAACAUCAUAAAUUAAACUUACUGUGAUUGACAACUAGAAGCUUGACUUCUGUGGAGUCUCUCAUGAAAGAUGCGCAUGUGAGUCUUUGGACUCCUCAUCGAUUUUUGGUCACUGACUACUCGGUGAUUUCGAGAGGAUUUGUCUUCAAUUACUCGAAUACAUCGCGGUCAUAUUUAUAAUAACAUUUAUCUCUGCAUCUGAAAUCAGACAAGAACACCCGCUGAACUUAA
rnacentral:misc_RNA from 1 species